UACGUAGGGGGCUAGCGUUGUCCGGAAUCAUUGGGCGUAAAGCGCGUGUAGGCGGCCCGGUAAGUCCGCUGUGAAAGUCGGGGGCUCAACCCUCGAAAGCCGGUGGAUACUGUCGGGCUCGAGUGCGGAAGAGGCGAGUGGAAUUCCUGGUGUAGCGGUGAAAUGCGCAGAUAUCAGGAGGAACAUCGAUUGCGAAGGCAGCUCGCUGGGACGGAACUGACGCUGAGGCGCGAAAGCGUGGGGAGCGAACAGG
rnacentral:rRNA from 1 species